rnacentral:rRNA from 1 species
CAGCAGCCGCGGUAACACGAGGGGGGCAAGCGUUGUUCGGAUUUAUUGGGCGUAAAGGGUCCGUAGGCGGUUUGGCAAGUCUUGUGUGAAAUCUAUGGGCUCAACCCAUAGCCUGCACGAGAAACUACCGGGCUUGAGUGAUGGAGAGGUGAGUGGAAUUUCCGGCGUAGCGGUGAAAUGCGUAGAUAUCGGAAGGAACACCUGUGGCGAAAGCGGCUCACUGGACAUUAACUGACGCUGAUGCACGAAAGCUAGGGGAGCAAACAGGAUUAGAUACCCGGGUAGUCCUGUCUCUUAUACA